rnacentral:rRNA from 1 species
CGCUGGCGGCGUGCCUAACACAUGCAAGUCAACUUGACUGAAGGAGCAAUCUGACAGUAGAGUGGCGCAAGGGUGCGUAACGCGUAAGUAACUUGCCCAAGGUAAGGAAUAACGUCGAGAAAUCGGCGCUAAUACCUCAUAAUGCAGCGGAUCCGCAUGGAUAUGUUGUUAAAGGUUUACCGCCUUGGGAUAGGCUUGCGUCUGAUUAGCUAGUUGGUGUGGUAACGGCACACCAAGGCUACGAUCAGUAACUGGUCUGAGAGGAUGAUCAGCCACACUGGAACUGAGACACGGUCCAGACUCCUACGGGAGGCAGCAGUGAGGAAUAUUGGGCAAUGCUCGAAAGAGUGACCCAGCAACGCCGCGUGGAGGAUGAAGGUAUUCUAUAUCGUAAACUCCUGUGAGAGCAGACGAAAGACAGAUUAUUAAUCUGGAUGACUGUAUGCUCAGAGGAAGCCCCGGCUAACUACGUG